rnacentral:rRNA from 1 species
GACGAACGCUGGCGGCGUGCUUAACACAUGCAAGUCGAACGGAAAGGCCCUGCUUUUGUGGGGUGCUCGAGUGGCGAACGGGUGAGUAACACGUGAGUAACCUGCCCUUGACUUUGGGAUAACUUCAGGAAACUGGGGCUAAUACCGGAUAGGAGCUCCUGCUGCAUGGUGGGGGUUGGAAAGUUUCGGCGGUUGGGGAUGGACUCGCGGCUUAUCAGCUUGUUGGUGGGGUAGUGGCUUACCAAGGCUUUGACGGGUAGCCGGCCUGAGAGGGUGACCGGCCACAUUGGGACUGAGAUACGGCCCAGACUCCUACGGGAGGCAGCAGUGGGGAAUAUUGCACAAUGGGCGGAAGCCUGAUGCAGCAACGCCGCGUGCGGGAUGACGGCCUUCGGGUUGUAAACCGCUUUCGCCUGUGACGAAGCGUGAGUGGCGGAAUGGGUAAAGAAGCACCGGCUAACUACGUG